GGUUAUAAUGAUUAUAGAAAUUGAUUAAGAAAAGUAUUCCAUCUUAUCUUUAAUUAAUAAAAAUUUAAUAUCCCGAAGGAUCUGUUUAAAGGAAAAAGGUUUGCUUCUUGGAGCAUUCAUGGGUUGGAAACUCCUAUAUUUUCUGGAAUUGUGGAGCCGUGUUUAAGCAUGAUGCCUCUUCAAAGCUGGGCUUGUGAAAGAGGCACCAGCCCAACAACACUUCGUCGUCUACUUGUGUGCUGAAACGCCAGAUAUCAUUAUUUCUGGCGCAAAGCAUUCGAUUCUCGCAGUCCCUCAAAAUCCAUGUACGAUUACCCAAUUUACUCCGUCAAGGCUUCUUCUCUAGUUUUGCUUUAGCGGAACUAACCUAAUGGUGAACUCAAUAUGUUUAUUUUUCAAUAAUGGAUGCAAAUGCAUUAGCAAAAUCGAAGAGGGCUCACUCGCUAACCCAUUGCAAAAAGCUCCAUUCUGCUCCAAAAUCAAAACUCCCGGGAACUGGAAAUAAGGCAUUGGUGGAAGCAAGCUAAGGAGAAGCUCCCCAGUCUGGUCUCCCUUCAAAUCGGGAUCGUUAUGAGGAAGAAUUCGAUUCAGAUGGCUUCACCACUGAGGCCAUUCUAUUGUUGUUUUUUUCUUCUUUCUUUUUUCUGAUAACUUUGUUGAUACAUGGCAUGAAAUUUUUGGUGUAUCACUGUCACAGGGGACUUUAAACUUGUAGUAGGGUCUUUCUAUCAGUCAGGGAAGAGAGCAUUCUAUCGUGGAUUGGGGAUGAUGAUUUUGUUGUAGAGAAUGAAACAGCUGUGACUGAGAAUUCAAAGUGGUUUCUGUUUCAGAACCCAAGAAGAAACUAUCCACAUUUCAGGCCUGAGCUGCUGAGGCAGAACUGGAUAUGCUUCUCGACUCAUUUAGUGAGACAAAGCUGCUUGAUUCUUCUGGGUUCACGUUUGCUGCUGCCCCUGUGCACCAAAAAGAGGCCUCUGUACAUCUGCCAAAACAUACAAGAAACACCCUGGGUUCUUUGAAAUCAACACCACUUUCUGCCAAACUAGAUGAUGGGCUCGAUGAUGUCCAAUUUAUCAGACUGCCCACCGUGAAAUUCAAUCAUCUUCCUUUCAGCCUGUAACCAAGUCUAAAGUUUUGGAUGAUUUUGGAUUCAUGGUUAGAUACAGUUUGAAUCCCUCACUUGUGCAUUCUUACUUCUUGUGUUUCCACUGCUACUUAUUCAUUACAUAGCUUCACCCUUUUGUUCAUCUUUCAACUGGAAGCCUGAAGACAGAUUCUAAUUAAUCUUGUUUUCAAUCAUAAUUUUGUCUGAGAUGGGAUUGGAUUUGGGUUUUAUUUUAUUUUGAUUUUGAUUUUCAUUUUCA